rnacentral:rRNA from 1 species
UACGAAGGGUGCAAGCGUUACUCGGAAUUACUGGGCGUAAAGCGUGCGUAGGUGGUUUGUUAAGUCUGAUGUGAAAGCCCUGGGCUCAACCUGGGAACUGCAUUGGAUACUGGCUUACUAGAGUGCGGUAGAGGGGUGUGGAAUUCCCGGUGUAGCAGUGAAAUGCGUAGAUAUCGGGAGGAACAUCUGUGGCGAAGGCGACACCCUGGACCAGCACUGACACUGAGGCACGAAAAGCGUGGGGAGCGAACAGG